rnacentral:lncRNA from 1 species
AGGGGGUAGAGCCCUAGCCAGGGACCAUGCCUUCCUCUAACCAACACUUUCCCAUUAUGUGUUAUUUAAAGGGACCACGCCCUUCCCUUCCCAGCACUUCCCUUCCAUAUCAUUACUAGGAGAGGGGGUGCAAAAAGAAGCACAAGUCAGAAUAACCCUGGAGAAGGUCCUAUCCAUUUCAGAGAAGACAUGUGAGACCACAGUGAGCAUUCAGUGUGGCGCUACCCAGAAAUGGGGCCAGCGCAGAAGCACAGCGACAUCACUCUGCCUUCUCCUGGAGCAGAGGAGCAAGUUGAGAAGGACUGGGAGCAGGCCUGAAAUCCCAGCUGGGCAUGAAGUGUGCUUGUGAGGGCCAGAGCAGGCUUGGCCUCAGCGAGGUGAGAGCUGAGGAAGCCCUCUUGCCUUCCUGCACCCAGAUUCUGGAGUGGCCCACGUUCCAGCCACAGCUUCUGUCUCCAGCCCGCCCUUGGAUUCUCCCUCCUCCACCUCUCUUCUUUCCCUGAAAUCUCUCCUCCACAAACUACUUCAGAACAAGACACACUCUUCCAACUUCUCACCUGCUGGCCCUGACUGAAGGGCUCAAGCAUUAUGACCAUUUUAAAGAGAUGUUUUUUCAAAUACUAACAACAAGAAAAUGUAUGAAUAUUUUCAACAGAAAAUUUACGAAUAUUUUCAACAGAAAAUUCAAGGAACAGGCAUCAUAAAAGACACUGUGUAGCCAAGAACGCUUUGGACGGCCAGGGAGGAGCUGGGUUGUUGCUCAGGCUUUGGGACCGACUGGUCAGGUGAAUGCAGGUGUCUCAGAUCACAUGGGAAGCAGGAGAGGCAGGAGAAUGGUGGUCCAAGCUGCGUGCUCCCAAAUAGCAAACAGUUCUCUUGAUCAGAAAUCCCUAAGGCCUCACAGCACAUAUUGGGCUCUCUCUUGACAUGUCUUGAUGUCCAGGCUCCAGACACAGCACAGAGCAUUUCCUCCCAGCUGCCAGCCCCUCCUGUGUGCUGGUGAGCACAGAAGUGUGCUUGAGGCUCAGCUGAGCACUCAAACCAGCUGUCAGGCAGAUGAGGGGAGCAUUAAGUCUCUGAUAUGCCCUGGCAUUCUCUCCAAGAGUGGCGUGAGAAGGACUGGUCUGCUGCAAGGGACUGGCACUGCACAGGGAGAGCCCAAUUCACAUCAAACAGGAGAACACUGCAACCCAACGGUGUAUUUUCCCUUGCGCACUUUUUCCUUUCAAAAGCAUUCAUUUCAGGAAUGAUGCUUAGCUAUCAGAGCACUGAACACAAAAUCCAAGAUAAUGUGGGCCCUCCUAGUGCUAGAAACACAGCCCUCUGAAUGCUCAGGCUUAUUAAACUGCCUUAAUAACAUGCCUUUUUUUUCCCCUCAUUAACUAUUUCAAAGUUAGUGACUUUGUGGGAUCCUGGGGGAAGCUGUAAAAGGCAGAUCAAACGAAACAGUCUCUGCCCAUCCCAGUCCCUCCACCCUCUGAGCUCCCUGCCCGUCCAUUACCGUAGAAUGCUGUUUACAGCCCUUUUCAUCUCUCACUACCUGCUUCUGAAGAGGAAUGGGGUCGGCAAGAAAAGGGCAGGAGGAAGGAAGUCUGAAGCCAUCGAAGGCUGGGCAUAAAGACAGCAAAUGAGGCAGAAGCGAGCAAAGGGAAGAUCCCUCCUGCCUGGGGCUGAAUUCCCCAUUCUCUCCAGCUUGCUGCAGGUCCUUCACACAAGUCUCUGCUCUGGAAGGCUCGAGUUGCACUUCAUGGACUGGGUGUCUGGACCCCUACUGGACAGCUCCCAGUAGGCACAGAUGCCGUCUCUCACUUGUCAGGGCUCCUGUAGCCUAGCUCAGGCCUGUGGAGGUGCUCCCGGAAGGGUUGAAUGGGCAGAGAACACGCCAGUCAGGGGCCCUUGGGAAAGACACCACGGGAAACCCACCUUCAUUUUUCUUUUUGAAAAAUGAAAAUGCUGCAUAAGACGACUUCUAAGGUCCCACCAAGUCUGCUGAGGUUUUACUAUAGUGCAUGCUCGUUACAGAAAACAUGGAGGACACUGAGAAGAGGGGCCGACUGCCCACCUCCCUAUCAACCAGUGCUGUUAGUGUGAGUUGGGACAUUUACUUCCAGAAUCUCAAAACUGCACUGAGCUUUGAAACUUCAUCCAAAAGGAAAUCAGUUUGUCUAAGAGAUAUCGACACUCCCAUGUUUAUUGCAGCACUAUUCAUGGCAGUCAAGAUUUGGAAGCAAUCCAAUUGUCCAUCAACAGAUGGAUGAAUGAAUAAGGAAAAUGUGCUGCAUACACACCAUGGGGCACUAUCCAGCUGUGAAAAAGAAAGAGAUCCUGCCUUGUGCAACAACAUGGAUGGAAUUGGAGGACAUGAUAUUACGUGAAAUAAGACAGGUACAGAAAGAAAAGCUUUGCAUGUUCUCACUUAUUUGUGGGAGCUAAAAAAUUAAAACAAUUGAACUCAUGAUGAUAGAGAGUAGAAUGAUGGUUACCAGAGACUGAGAAGGACAGUGGGGAAGUGGGGAUGGAUAAUGGUACAAAAAUAUGGUUAGAUACAGUGAAUAAGAUUUAGUAUUUGAUAGCAUGACAGGGGGACCACAGUCAGCAAUAAUUUAUUGUCCAGUCUAGAAUAACUGAGGGAGUACAAGUGGAAUGUUUGUAACACAAAUAAAUGAUGAAUGCUUGAGGUGAUUGAUACCCCACUUACACAUUGCAUGCCUGUAUCAAAAUAUUUCAUGUACUCCACAAAUAUAUACACCUACUAUGUACCUACAAAAAUCAAAAAUUAAAAAAAUUAAAAAUUAAAAAAAGACUGGGCGCAGUGGCUCACGCCUGUAAUCCCAGCACUUUGGGAGGCCAAGGCAGGCAGAAGCUGAGGCAGACGGAUCACCUGAGGUCGGGAGUUCGAGACCAGCCUGGCCAACAUGGUGAAACCCUGUCUUUACUAAAAUUAUAAAAAAUAUUAGCUGGAGAUGGUCACAGGCACCUGCAAUCCCAGCUACUCAGGAGGCUGAGGCAGGAGAAUCCCUUGAACCCAGGAGGCAGACGUUGCAGUGAGCCGAGAUCACGCCACUGCACUCCAGCCUGGGCAACAGAGCAAGACUCCAUCUCAAAAAAAAAAAAAAAAAAUCAGUUCAUAGGAAGUCGUCCCUAGUAGGCGAGACUUGAGCAGGUCACUGUCCUGCAGGGCACUGCCAUGGAAACAAUGGGCCAUGCCUUCUCUACAGAGCUGAGGAUUAAGAGGCCUGAGGCCUCGACACUAUGGCUCACUGUAUUCAGGCUACGGGGAGAAAGCGAAGCUGCAGAAUCACAGGAGUGAAAAAGAAAAAGGAAGUUGUUGGCCAGGCGCGGUAGCUCACGCCUGUAAUACCAGCACUUUGGGAGGCCAAGGCAGGCGGAUCACGAGGUCAGGAGAUAGAGACCAUCCUGGCUAACACGGUGAAACCUCAUCUCUCCUAAAUAUACAAAAAAAUUAGGCAUGGUGGCGGGCACCUGUAGUCCCAGCUACUCGGGAGGCUGAGGCAGGAGAAUGGCGUGAACCCGGGAGGCGGAGUUUGCAGGGAGCCGAGAUAGCGCCACUGCACUCCAGCCUGGGUGACAGAGUGAGAUUCUGUCUCAAAAAAAAAAAAAAAAAAAAAAAAAGAAAGAGGAAGUGUGUGCUUUACCUUGUCAAAACUGAACAAAAAUGUAUAUGUCUAUUAUGUAUCAAGAAAAAAUAAAAUUUUUUGUAAAACUGAACUUACUAUGUCCUUGAAGGAAAAGUCUUCUUGAUUUAUCCAAGGAGAAACGGAAACCCGUUGCUACCAGAUUUCCUCCCAGUCAGGCCUGCACCCUCCCUCUUUUGGGUCCCAUGGAGCUCUCUGGUCCACCAGCCAGGGAACACUUGCCACUUUGACUUCAGCUAUGGGGAUGCAUGCCUUCUCCCAGGAAGUGCAAGCUGCCUUCUGAUGAUAUCGGUCUUGGUGGCCUCACAGCCCUUAGCACAAUGGGUGGUUCAUAGGAGAUGAUUAGCAAUUUUGUUGAACUGAUGAAUUAAUUAUAAAAUUUGGUAAGUAGAUGUGAUAAAUUUUGUAUUGCUUAAGUCUACUUUGGGCAUUUUGGAGGAAUCUCCUUACCCUGUCUUUAAAAUCUUUCUCCUUUCUGAAAAGUAAGAUUUGGAUCAAAUUAAUAAUCAAAUUUUGUUUGAAAUCCACACGUUAGGCAUGUUUUCUAACUCACAAUUCCUACUGCACUUAAAACACCUCCUGUACUUUCCUUUCCCUGAAAGUAUCUUGGUAUAAGAGAUGGCAACCUAUAUAAAUCCAAUUCUCUAGUAACAAGGUAGAAAUUGCACUUAGAAAAAACUAGCUCAUUCUGCUUAAAUAUAGCGAUUUCUAGGGAUUGAGUAAUGUGGACAUGGGUAUAUUUCUGGACUGUCUCCAUUCCAAGACUUCUGUGGGUUCCUGAGAAGAAGCUGAUGUUCUAAUCUGUCUAAAUUACCUAACGCUGGUGUGAGGAUGGUCGAGUCAAAAGAGCUGCUAAAAACAACAUCAACAACAGCCAUUUCUUCCAGAAAACUCAAAGAAACCUUAUGGAUAUAUACUCAAUAGGCAUCAGGACAUUUGUAAGAAAAGAGCCAAUGUAGGCAAAACUGAAUAAAAUAAGAUGUCAAUCCCUGUGACUCCCACGUACCUAUUAUCUAGUCAUUCAUUUGUUUAAUUCUUCCUAUUCAGCCUAUAAGUGUUUCUAAGCACUUAUUUCACUGGCGAUCAACAGUAACCAAUAAAAUUCACUCAUGAAUCAACAG